rnacentral:rRNA from 1 species
CAGCCGCCACGGUAAUACGAAGGGUGCAAGCGUUACUCGGAAUUACUGGGCGUAAAGCGUGCGUAGGUGGUGGUUUAAGUCCGUUGUGAAAGCCCUGGGCUCAACCUGGGAAUUGCAGUGGAUACUGGGUCACUGGAGUGUGGUAGAGGAUAGUGGAAUUUCCGGUGUAGCAGUGAAAUGCGUAGAGAUCGGAAGGAACAUCUGUGGCGAAGGCGACUAUCUGGGCCAACACUGACACUGAGGCACGAAAGCGUGGGGAGCAAACAGGAUUAGAUACCCCCGUAGUCCCUGUCUCUUAUAC